UGCAAAGUCGUAAAUCUCAAGGAUGAUAACGGUUGUUGGUAAACAAAAGCAGCACGUGAAACUGUCAAAACUGUAAACACAGUUACAUUUUAACAAAAAUUGAAUGUAGGUGAAAGAUUUGGAAAAAUGGUGGAAGUUUUGAAGUCUACAUUUAAAGAGCAAUAUCCAACAAUUGUUGAAGAUGUCAAACAUUGUGAUUUCAUUGCACUUGACACAGAAUUUACUGGGUUAAAGAUAAAUGAGCAGCUGAAGUCAAAAUUGUUUGAUGAUGGGGCUGAAAGGUACCAAAACUUGAGGAAAACUAUAACACAAAUCACCAUUUGUCAGUUAGG